rnacentral:rRNA from 1 species
UCACUGGCUCGGACCCGUCCGCUAUGAACCGGCGCUCCCCAUGCGGUCGGAUGUCCUUGCUGAACCAGCCGAUGCUGGCUGUUUUCCCCCUCGUUUUUUUUUUGUUUGUGUCUUUGUGGCGUGGCGCUGCCGCCAAUGUCGUUUCGCCACUAUGUCGAUGUAUCUGGUUCUUCUAAUGCGCUCCUCAUGCGCGCGCCAGCUUGCUGCGCGUCUUUCCUCGACCCACGAGCCCGAUGAUCUCACCGUUGAACGUUGUAUUUUUGUUUUCCGUGGCACGCUGCCGCUCUCCAGUCGUUCCGCGUCUCUGCUCGGCAGCACCGCUAACUGUGGGAGCGUAGUGUCUUAGGGUUUGACCUGUUGCUUUAUUCCCCUGGGCAGGGUUUUUUUCCGCUUUUUAUCGUUUUCUUGUACAGGGUGGCCAGCUCUGCCCGCCUCCACGCCAGCCGAUGCGUGGUUGGUUCUCGCACUUCGCUCGCCGCAGGCCAGAGCGCUAGGGGUUCCAGCCCGGGACCGUCUGCGUCCGGCCACCCGCGUGUUGGUUUUGGUUUUGCCGCGUCGGGCACACGAUUUGACACUUCCCAGGGUAUUCUAGGCCACCUUGUUCGCUUUCUUCCUCUACUUUUUUUCAUUUUGUGUUCGUCGCGUUCCGAUUAACUUGACAGCCAGCAGGGCGCCCGCGUGGCCCGGGCAUCCCCGAGCCGCCGCCGAGGCCCUCCUCCAUCCAUCACUUCGGCCGGGCCUGUGCAUGGUGCAAUGGACACCUCGGUUCAUUUGUCGGUUUUCUGAACCCGAGGUAAUGACUAAUAGGAGAGGCGGGAUUCGUAUUGCGACGCUAGAGGUUUCUUGGUCGCCCGAACUACUGCGAAAGCGCCAAGGAUGUUUCAUUAAUCAAGCCGAAAGUUAGAGGUUCGAAGGCGAUCAACCGCCCUAGUUCUAACCAUAAACGAUGGAGUCCGCCGGCGUUAUUCCAUGACCGCGGCGCCGGGAAACCAAAGUCUUUGGGUUCCGGGGGAAGUAUGGUUCCAAAGCUGAAUUAUGGAAUUGACGGAAGGGCAACGGAGGAGUGAGCCUGCGCUUAAUUUGACUCAACACGGGGAACUCCCACCAGGCCCAGACACCGGAAGGAUUGACAGAUUGAGAGCUCUUUCUCGAUUCGGUGGGUGGUGGUGCAUGGCCGUUCUUAGUUGGUGGAGCGAUUUGUCUGGUUAAUUCCGAUAACGAACGAGACUCUGGCCUACUAACUAGUCGACGGAUCUCCAGCAAUUGGUGUCCAGUUCGCAGCUUCUUCUUAGAGGGAUAAGCGGCAACUUUAGCCGCACGAGAUUGAGCAAUAACAGGUCUGUGAUGCCCUUAGAUGUUCUGGGCCGCACGCGCGCUACACUGAAGGGAUCAACGUGUCCUCCCCCUCCGAGAGGAGCGGGUAACCCGUUGAAAUCCUUUCAUGAUAGGGAUUGGGGUUUGCAAUUGUCUCCCAUGAACGAGGAAUUCCCAGUAAGCGCAAGUCAUGAGCUUGCGUUGAUUACGUCCCUGCCCUUUGUACACACCGCCCGUCGCUACUACCGAUUGAAUGAUUUAGUGAGGCCUUCGGACUGGCGCUCUUGGAUGCCGGGCCCACGCGGUUCCGCCGCUGGGCUUUCGGCGCCUCGAGCUGACGGAAAGAUGUCCAAACUUGAUCAUUUAGAGGAAGUAAAAGUCGUAACAAGGUUUCCGUAGGUGAACCUGCGGAAG